rnacentral:rRNA from 1 species
UACAGAGGGUGCAAGCGUUGUUCGGAAUUAUUGGGCGUAAAGGGCGCGUAGGCGGUGCGGUAAGUCUGCGGUGAAAUCUCCCGGCUCAACUGGGAGGCUGCCGUGGAAACUGCCGUGCUUGAGUGUGGGAGAGGUGAGUGGAAUUCCCGGUGUAGCGGUGAGAUGCGUAGAUAUCGGGAGGAACACCUGUGGCGAAAGCGGCUCACUGGACCACAACUGACGCUGAGGCGCGAAAGCUAGGGGAGCAAACAGG